GUUUAUUGUGAUUUUUUACAGUCACUGUAAUGAAAGUGUCGUGAUCAAGUAAGAGAUCGUUUUGGAUCCGGAGGAAAGCGGCGUUUGCGCAGCUCUGUCAGAUGAUUUGAUGUAACAGUCUGUGAUCGGUGGCACAUGCAUGCAUAGACAACACGACCGCGCGAGAUAUUUAGACAUGUCGAGGAGCUGAAUUUGCAGGAUUGUGGUUAAACAUGUCUGAGGGGGUUAGAAGAGUGAAAUUCUGCAGCUCUGAGUCCAUGUGGGCUUUUUAGAGCAAUCCGAGAAACACUGACGUUCAAGUUGCAUGGGGCUAUUUUCUCCUCUGCAAGCGGUUCUACUCCUGCACUGUCAUCUUGUUUUCACUACUUCAGAUAUAAUCAAGACUGGCAAGAAUUACACCAAAACAUAUGAGAACCUCAUCCUUCUUUGCAAAAAGGAGAAGGUCAGAAUUGGAACCUGCUUGGUGGAUCGUUUAAGAUAUUACUAUAGGAAAGACUGUGGCAGGCAGUACAUGUUGAUGAAACUGAUUU